rnacentral:rRNA from 1 species
CUUUGGUGCCUUCGGGAACUCUGAGACAGGUGCUGCAUGGCUGUCGUCAGCUCGUGUUGUGAAAUGUUGGGUUAAGUCCCGCAACGAGCGCAACCCUUAUCCUUUGUUGCCAGCGAUUCGGUCGGGAACUCAAAGGAGACUGCCAGUGAUAAACUGGAGGAAGGUGGGGAUGACGUCAAGUCAUCAUGGCCCUUACGAGUAGGGCUACACACGUGCUACAAUGGCAUAUACAAAGAGAAGCGACCUCGCGAGAGCAAGCGGACCUCAUAAAGUAUGUCGUAGUCCGGAUUGGAGUCUGCAACUCGACUCCAUGAAGUCGGAAUCGCUAGUAAUCGUGGAUCAGAAUGCCACGGUGAAUACGUUCCCGGGUCU